GCUCAAUUUGUCUAUUUUCUACUUUAUAGAAACAAAGCUAUUUUUCCCAUUACUUUCUUCACCUUAAAUAUUAAUCAAAAAUUAAGAUUAGAUUAUUCAUAGCAAAUACUGGAAAACUAAUGUCCCUUGCACUCUAAAUUAAAGUCUUGAAAUAACUAUCAAUUAAAAAUAUAAAUUAUGAUAUUGUAAAAAGAGCAUGGACCUUGGAUGCUGUCAGAAUUUGCACUUGAUGUCUGUUGUAUAUAUGCUGUCCCCACAAAAGGAACAGCCUAGCAAGAGAGAGAAUUUGUAGACAAUAACUGCUCUACUCCAGCCAGACACUGAGGAAUAAAAAUCUAUCCCCCUCCGACACUCAUACCAGCAAAGGUUGAGUAAGAAGCCUAGACUUACACCCUCAUAGGCUGUAAUGUGUUACUCCAACAUCCUCAUUUGACAUGAUGUUAGAGAAGGCCAAAUAGGGACCUGGGACUUUCACACCACUACUAACAACAAAAUUUCUCCCCUCUUCCUCUGCAUCCCUGUAGAGCUGAUGGAAACUACCUGAAGAAUCUAGACUUCCUCCUAUAUCUUUAUAGCAGUAAAAAUAGAAGGUACUCUUCUCUUUACUGAAGGACUGGUGUCAGAAGUGGCUCAGUGGAGAGCAAGAACUUUCAUCAUCUCCAGCAUUAACAAUGCUGCCACUGUAGAGUCAGUGGAUAAUACCUGGAUAUCUGCAUUGGACAUCAAAUGGGAGUCAGAACUCCCAAACUCACUUAGCUGUAAAAAGGACCUCCCCAUUCAGGGAGCUCAUUAGACUCAAUAGCAUCUGAGUAUAUAAUUGCACCUUUCAGUAACAGUGCAGCAGUCCCACUUCUCUUUCCUAAGUGGUUUCAGAGAAAACCAAUUGAAACAGAAAGUUUAAACAAAAUCCACCUUCUUAUAACAAUAAAACAAUUCUUAGGCUUCAAUGAAAAAAAUUACUCAUUAUACCAAAAAAAACCCCAAAUGAAUAAAAAAAAGUGAUAACAUGAUGCAGCUAUAUCCUGCCUAUCAGAAUUGCGUUAUAUCUAUAAAGACAUGUAUUAGCUGAAGAUAAAGGAAUGGAAAACAAAUAUUUCACUCAAACAUAAACUAAAAGUGAUCAGGGAGAAUUCAACAUCAUACUUGGAACAUUGGAAAGAUCUUCCAGACAGAAAGUGAAUAAAGAAAUAUUAGUUAACACAAAUUGACUAACCUUAAGCCAGACUAAGAAAAAAAGACGUGA
rnacentral:lncRNA from 1 species